GGCUUUGUAGUGUAGCGGUUAUCACUUGAGAUUCUGAUCAAGUCGGUUGUAUGACCGUCAUGUUCUCAAAACCCAGGUUCGAGUCCUGGCAAGGCCU